UACGGAGGGUGCAAGCGUUAUCCGGAUUCACUGGGUUUAAAGGGUGCGUAGGCGGGUAUGUAAGUCAGUGGUGAAAUACCGGAGCUUAACUUCGGAACUGCCAUUGAUACUAUAUAUCUUGAAUAUUGUGGAGGUAAGCGGAAUAUGUCAUGUAGCGGUGAAAUGCUUAGAGAUGACAUAGAACACCGAUUGCGAAGGCAGCUUGCUACGCAAAUAUUGACGCUGAGGCACGAAAGCGUGGGGAGCAAACAGG
rnacentral:rRNA from 1 species